AUUAACGGAUUUCAUAGAGGCCUCUACACAUAAAUGCUAGUAUUACUUUGUUGCACUGGUUGAGCCAUUAGGUAUGCUUAAUUGCUGAUGCAUUGAAGUUUGGCUGGUUGAAACUAUGUAGUUAUAUUAUCCGGUGUGCUUUCUAGUUGAGGUAAUUUGCACUUCUGAAAAUGUGGUAGAAGUUGUGGGACCACCAAACAAAGGAUGCAGGUGUUAACUAAUCAAUUUAUGUGUUUAUGUGAUAUCCAGGAGGCAAAUAUUAUGGCAGCUGAAAUAGGUCUAAGGUUUGAAGAAUUUAGGCUUCAUUGGAGAUUCAAAACCUGGGAAUCAUGAAUAUUAUUUUGAGAAUUGUAUAUCAGAUUCCAAUAUCGGGGAAAUGGUUUAGAAGCACAAAAGUGUGGCAGGGUGGGAAGAGGUUGUUGAUAAGCUGAGAGGCAAACUAAACUCAGCCCCUGAAAAUUCAGUAUUUCAGAGUGCACGGGCCAAAAUCCUUGAUUGAAAUUUGAGAUAUUAGGCUUGAGCACAGUCUCAUGUUGUGGCAUUUUGUUUAGCUUUUUCUUUUUCAUGAUUGUAUUUUUUUUUCCAACUUAUUUUCCUAAAACGAUUUUUCUGACAUGAAUUCAUUUGAGCUUGAAGAAGUCAAACUAACUUAUUGUCCACUUGGAUAUCGUUGUAAUAUACGUAUAGAUAGAGAAUCAAGAUAAUUACUUUACCUUGUAUACAGUGCAUAAUCAUAGGAAGAUACAUAGGAUCAAUUAGAGGAUCAAUUAUAGGGUUAAGUGUAGAAUCUCUUCCUUUUUAAGAUCUUGUAUAUGUGUAUAAAUAUCAUCAUUCAGAAUAGAAUAAACAUGACAACUAUUUCCUACAGAUCUAGUUUGUUACAUGGUAUCAGUGUCUUAAAUUUUUUGAGGUUUUGUUUUUGGGUACUGUCCAUGGGUACUGUUCAUCAGUGCUGUUCAAGAUGUCUGGAAGUCGCGCCUGAUUUUUUAUUGCCUCUGCCUUGCGGUUCCAGCACUAUGCUGUUUUGUUUCUUGGCGCCUCUUUCCUGGUGGUGUUUUGAAGUGUUUUAAAAAUUUAAAAAUGGCCAUCGAUAGUAAGUCUUAUGUAUCGGGACUUACUCAAAGGGUCCACUUCAGUCACUAUCGCUGAGACAGGUAAAAUAUGCCUUCUCAAACAAAUGAGUCAUUGAUUCUGGUGCCACGAAUCAUAUGACAUGACAUGAGGUACCUUCUCUAAGGUACCUUCUCUGGUAACCAUAGGUGGCAAUAUAAUGUUAGAGGGUUCUGGGACUGUUAAGCUUACUCCUUCCAUCACUUUAUCAUCUGUAUUAAGUUUAUCCAAUCUUGCCUUUAAUUACACUGUGAGUAAACUUAUCAAAGGCCUAAACUGUUGUCUCUUUUUUUCCUGAUCAUUGUCUUUUUCAAGAUCUUAUGACAAAGAAAAUUAUUGAUAAAGGAUACAUAUCUGAUGAUGUUUACAUUUUGGAUGCGUGAGUGCCUCAGUCAGUUGCUUGUUCUAGUGUAAUUUCUCCAUUUGAAGUACAUUGUCAGUUCGGACAUCAUUCUUUACCACUUUAAAAAAGUUGUGUCUCCAGUUUCAUGAUGUACCUUUACUGGAAUGUGAGUUGUGAUUUUAUAAAAUAUCAUCGUAUCUCGCUCAGUCCUAGAAUCAAUAAACGGACUGAAUUUGCUUUUGAACUCGUUCAUUAGGACAUUUGGGGACCUUGUCCUGUUGGAUCUACAACUGGAUUAAGGUAUUUUAUUAUUUUUGUGGAUUAUUUUUUUUUGGAUGACCUGGAUUUACUUUAUAAAGAAUCGCUCUGAGUUAAUUUAUCAUUUUUCUGCCUUUUGCGCUAAAAUUAAGAAUCAGUUUAAUGUUUCUGUGCAUAUAUUGAGGAGUGAUAAUGGCAAAGAAUACAUGCCAGAAUUAUUUCAGACUUUUAUGACGAAACAUGGUAUUUUUCACCAAUCGUCCUGUGUUAAUACAUCUGCUCAAAAUGGAGUAGUUGAAGGGAAGAAUAGGCAUCUAUUUGAAAUUGCUUGACCUCUGUUAUUCCAAAUGCAAGUUCCUAAGCAAUUCUGGGUUGACGCUGUCUCUAUCAAUUGUUUUCUCAUUAAUCGCAUGCCAUCUAUGGUAUUUAAUAAUAAUACUCCUAUAAUGUUCUCUUUUCUAAUAAGUCGUCGUUUCCUUUGGAAUCACAAAUUUUUUGCAGUAUUUGCUAUGUUCGGGAUGUCAAAGUUCAUGUGAUUAAACUUGAUCCUAAAGUUAUAAAAUGUAUUUCUUUUGGGAUAUUCUCGUCUUUAGAAGGGGUAUCAGUAAUUCUCUAAAAUAGGUAUCUGGUUUCUCCAGAUGUCUUUUUCGAGAAAAUUUCAUUUUUUCUACAGUACGGACCUUUACCGAUGAAGGGAAGGAAGAUGAGUAGCUCAUCUAUAGGGUCACAAGUGAGAUCUCCACAGGUCUGUCUUCUCCGGCACAACUUGUUGAAGGUGUUCCUCCUAGUAUUCAAUCAUUUGCCAAACCACCGGCAGUUCAAUUUUUUUCUAGAAAAAUAAUCGAUGGCAUAUGUCCUGCACCGGAAUCUUCUUUACCAUCGAAUUCACCAUCGAGUGACCUUAUCUCCUUGUUGGUCUUCUUAAAGAUAAAUAAUAGUGUAAGUCUAUCUAUUUUGUUGAUAACUUUCUUUCUUAUGAUCAUCUGUCUCCCUCUUCUAACUCAUUAAUUGCCUCUCUAGAUUCCAUUUUCUUACCUAGGACAGAUAAAGAGGCCACAUCUCAUUCUGGAUAGCGUGAUGCAUGAAGAGAUCAAGGCUUUAGAUGAUAAUCAUACAUGAGAACUAGUUGAUUUACCCUAAAGCAAGAAGACAGUGGGUUGUAAAUGGAUUUUUGCCAUCAAAGUCAAUCCAUAUAGUUAUGUGCUGCUUCUCAACAUUAGCCUUUACACCAGUUAGAUAUCAAAAAUGUCUUUCUACUUGAUGACCUCCAAGAAGAAGUGUAUAUGCAGCAACCACUUGGGUUUGUUACUCAGGGGAGUAUGAGAAAGUCUGUCGUUUGAAGAAAUCUUUGUAUGGUUUGAAGCAGAAGUCCCAUACUUAGUUUGGCAAGUUCAGUGAUGUUGUUCAAGGAUUUGGAUUAAAAAAGAGCAAGUGUGAUUAUUC